AGUACAACAUAGGAAAUCUGCCUUAGGGUGGGGGACAACAGAGGGAAACUUCUGCUAAUACCCCAUAUGAGCUUGGUUGAAAUACCAAUCUUGAAAGUUCCGGCGCCCUAAGAUGAGCCUGUGCCUGAUUAGCUAGUUGGUGGUGUAAUGGACUACCAAGGCAACGAUCAGUAGCUGGUUUGAGAGGAUGAUCAGCCACAAUGGGACUGAGACACGGCCCAUACUCCUACGGAAGGCAGCAG
rnacentral:rRNA from 1 species